rnacentral:rRNA from 1 species
UACAGAGGUCUCAAGCGUUGUUCGGAUUCAUUGGGCGUAAAGGGUGCGUAGGCGGCGCGGUAAGUCGGGUGUGAAAAUCUCGGAGCUUAACUCCGAAACUGCAUUCGAUACUGCCGUGCUUGAGGACUGGAGAGGAGACUGGAAAUUUACGGUGUAGCGGUGAAAAUGCGUAGAUAUCGUAAGGAAGACCAGUGGCGAAGGCG